rnacentral:snoRNA from 1 species
UCCCAUGCUUCACUGAAGCUCUCUAGACCUUUCUGUUGAAACCCAGAGAUUUCAUUCC